rnacentral:rRNA from 1 species
GAUAACGUUGAAGCUGAACAAGCAUUUGCAGUCAAAUGGCAACAUUUGACGUGGCAUAAUGCGUUGUAAGAAUGUUUUGAUGGAUAUUGGCAAUGAGAGUGAUCAAGUGUCUUAAGGGCAUUUGGUGGAU